rnacentral:rRNA from 1 species
AGGGAACGCUGGCGGUAGGCCUAACACAUGCAAGUCGAACGGCAGCACAGUAAGAGCUUGCUCUUACGGGUGGCGAGUGGCGGAUGGGUGAGGAAUACAUCGGAAUCUACUUUUUCGUGGGGGAUAACGUAGGGAAACUGACGCUAAUACCGCAUACGACAUACGGGUGAAAUCAUGGGAUCUUCUUACCUUGCGCGAUUGAAUGAGCCGAUGUCGGAUUAGCUAGUUGGCGGGGUAAAGGCCCACCAAGGCGACUAUCCGUAGCUGGUCUGAGAGGAUGAUCAGCCACACUGGAACUGAGACACGGUCCAGACUCCUACGGGAGGCAGCAGUGGGGAAUAUUGGACAAUGGGCGCAAGCCUGAUCCAGCCAUACCGCGUGGGUGAAGAAGGCCUUCGGGUUGUAAAGCCCUUUUGUUGGGAAAGAAAAGCAGCAGGUUAAUACCCCGCUGUUCUGACGGUACCCAAAGAAUAAGCACCGGCUAACUUCGUG